AAAAAAAUUGUUAAACUUGAUUAUAAUCCGAUUUUGUGAAAUGAUUGGAGAAAUGUAAGAUAAGUGAAAGUCGAAUAAAGCAAAAAUAAAAUAUCACUACUUUUGACAUUAUUACACUCAUUUGUGAAUCACAAGUGGGAAACCGUCUCAUUCUUUUUUUUUUUUAAGGGAAACCGUCUCAUUUUUAGGGCAAAGGUUUCGAACUAAUUUGCGCGCAAGUCAUUGUAGGUGUCUUAGGAUGAGCUCAACGAGAACGGAUAUUAUCUUAUAAGAAAUAGAAGGGUUGAAACGCAUUUAGAUUCCGAUUUUUAAUACGAAAUUUGAACUGUGAAAGCGUGACUUGACGAUUCUUUAGCCCUUCGAAUUUUGAAGUUAGGGGUGUCGGAAAAGUUUUCAUACGGAUAAUUGUCUUAUGGCGGCUAAAUGUUCAUUGCGGCGUUGUUGUUUUUUACUUUUAUGUCGGUUUUUUUAUUGUUGUGAAACAGAGUUUGCACUGAGUGUUGGAUUGUUUACCUAUCAAUAGGUUAUUUGAGAGUGGAGUUCCGUUUU
rnacentral:ncRNA from 1 species